CCUACGGGAGGCAGCAGUGGGGAAUAUUGGACAAUGGGGGGAACCCUGAUCCAGCCAUGCCGCGUGUGUGAAGAAGGCCUUAUGGUUGUAAAGCACUUUAAGCGAGGAGGAGGCUACUUUAGUUAAUACCUAGGGAUAGUGGACGUUACUCGCAGAAUAAGCACCGGCUAACUCUGUGCCAGCAGCCGCGGUAAU
rnacentral:rRNA from 1 species